UCAAUUGAAAGUCUUCAGUCA
ensembl:piRNA 21ur-5222 ncRNA